UCUUUAGUAGUCUCUCUCGCGACCUUUUCAGAAGCCCUCUCUUUCUCAACUCCCUUUCUCGUCCCUGAAACACCAUCUCCAUCGUGUCGUCUUGGUUACCAAUCUCGCCAUCCAUGUCACAGAUCUCGACGUCGAGUUCACUGAGGUCGUCAUAUCCCUUGUGUCCAGGUCACUGAGGUCGCCAUCUUCACGAGGGCACAUCCAUGAUCUUCGCAAUCUCCUUCAAGGGGCCUCUCUCUAGCCCACUAGUCUCUUCUCCUCCAAGCUUCCCCUUCUCUUCGUCGACCUGUUCUUUGUUAAAUUUGAGGUUUCGUUUUGGUCUUUAUCUGACUUUUGCUUGGGCGAUUUCAGAGAUCUGCAGGCGACGCUUAUCGGUGGUGGUUAUAGGUUGGAUCAUCGUGGCGUGAUAACGAUUCUGUUAGCCGUCGUGAUUGGGUCCAAGUCUGGCGACAUCUAGUUGCUUUAAAUACUCUUUGGGUGGGACAUCACGAAAUUGCAGGUUCUUGGCGGGGUAGUC